rnacentral:rRNA from 1 species
CGCGUAGGCGGCUUUUUAAGUCUAGGGUGAAAUCCUGUGGCUCAACCACAGGCCUGCCUUAGAAACUGAAAAGCUUGAGGCCGUGAGAGGAAAGCGGAAUUCCUGGUGUAUCGGUGAAAUGAGUUGAUAUCAGGAGGAACACCGGUGGCGAAGGCGGCUUUCUGGUGCGGUUCUGACGCUGAGGUGCGAAAGCAUGGGGAGCAAACAGGAUUAGAUACCCUGGUAGUCC